UACGGAGGAUCCAAGCGUUAUCCGGAUUCACUGGGUUUAAAGGGUGCGUAGGUGGAAUGACAAGUCAGUGGUGAAAACCUGCAGCUUAACUGUAGAACUGCCAUUGAUACUGUUAUUCUUGAGUACAUUGAUGUGAGUGGAAUGUGUCGUGUAGCGGUGAAAUGCUUAGAUAUGACACAGAACACCAAUUGCGAAGGCAGCUCACAAAACUGUAACUGACACUGAGGCACGAAAGCGUGGGGAUCAAACAGG
rnacentral:rRNA from 1 species